CACGAUUGAAAAGCAGGCGCACGUACCAAAUCCGAUCUCUUGGAAUCCAUCUUGACUUGGCUUGAAAGGCAUCUUUCUGUCACGUCCAUUUCACAAUGCCUAAACAGAUCCAUGAAAUUAAGGAUUUUCUCCUUACGGCACGGAGAAAGGACGCCAAAUGUG